rnacentral:lncRNA from 1 species
AUUGGACCUAACCCCAAAACUCCCUAAGCUAUUUGCCCGGCCCCCAUAAAGGGCACCACAGGACUUCGUAAUGCCUGGCCCAGCCAGGUCUUAUCCAUAGGGAUAGUGGGGUCGCCUUGGUCCCUCCACAUCAACAGUAAAUAAUGCAAUGCGUCAUAUUCGUGUAACUAGUGCAAUCAACCUAUUACAUAUAAACAUGAUGCAUGAACAUGCUUUAGGCAUUUGAUUUCAUAAAAUAAAAGAUU